GCUGAAAGAAAGUGAAAACCGAUGCGGUUAGCUAAUUACACGCGGCAAGCGUGCCUCGUCGCCUCGUGGUUGGUGGGCCUCGCGUGAAAAUUGCCACGAUGAGAAAAACGCGCGCCAACAACCUUUCAAUUGAAUAGCGGCCCUGCUUAAACCGUAAAAGUGCCUGGGAAUGAGUCACAGCCACGGACACGUAGAUAAUGUACAGUUACCAGAUAUUAUUGACACAGGUCUUGGAGACGAGGCUAUUGGAUUUUAGAAGAAGCUUACACUUUCUGAUUGAAUAACAAUUCCCUGCGCAGGUCCUUAUGGUUGCUGGAGGUGAGGUAAGGGUUGUACGGUUUUCUUGGUAAGAUUAAGCCAUCCGGUCCCAUGUGAGGAGCAGGUGGAGGAGGUGGUGGUACACCCAAUACCGGUGCCAUUCUUUGUCCUAGAAAGAGAAAAAGAGAAGCAAAACACAUGGUUAAACAGUAUCGCAGAAGAAAAUAUUUUACGUAUCGAAAGAUCUCGCUCGAUUAACACCAUGACGAUCGAUUAAUUUAGUUUGAGAUCUAACGUUUAGGCGGAAAAUUAAGAAAACGUGGUCUAAGUUACGUUUAUGGGAAAAAUGGGCGAUAACUUGGGAUAUUUGGAAGGUAAAAGCGUACAACUAGCUAAUAACGAAAGAAAUAUAAAAGUAAAUAAAUAAGCACGAUAUAUAUUUAUAUCGUACGCUGAUAGUGAACACAGCACGCAGCAGCAUCAGUCAUCAUAGCGUUAAAGAGGAGAUAAAGUGGCGAAAGAAAUACACAAAUCGCGCCGAGUGUUUACAAAUGGCUGGGUGUUUAAUUUAACCAGUUUAGCAAGUCUUUUAUUUUUGCUCAAGUUACGAUCUCUUUGAAAAAGUGUGUACCUAAUAAAACGUGUGGUGAACAGUAAUGACGAUGACGAGUAUACUCGACGAACACAGAGUACGUGUGGCUGUUACGGUAUCGAAUUAAGUUGCAACGAAACGAGUAGGUGUUUUAUCUUUUAAUUUCGUUGCUGACAGGGCUGGUCGUAACGCAAGAUACUGCCACCUCUUCGUGUGCUCGUGAAAAACAGCAAACUGGUUAAUUUGAUUAGAAAUUCGUUUCGUCGGUCGAAAAUGUCACUCCUAUCGGAAAAUGGAAACGUCUCAAUGUUUGCAGGCCGGUUUUGAUGGUACAGCGUGCAAACGAAAGGGAAGAUCCUUGAAAGACAUCGUGAUGUAUUUGCAAACGUAUUAAAUCGAUCGAAGAAGAAGGCUGUUGGACGUGCGAAGAAUCGCAGCGAAAAGAAAGGAAAGACGAGGAUGGCGGAACGAGAGAGAAGAUGAAAGAUCGUGGUUUCUAGAAAACCGUUUAAUUCGACAGCGAACUAGAACGCGGCGAAUGAUAAUAAAUUUUUGCAGUCAGUUUUUUA